AGGCGGGGACAGGAUUCGAACCUGCAGUCUUCAGGUCAUGAGCCUGAUGAGUUGACCAAUUCCUCUACCCCGCU
rnacentral:tRNA from 6 species